GACGAACGCUGGCGGCGUGCUUAACACAUGCAAGUCGAACGGAAAGGCCUGCAGCUUGCUGCGGGUACUCGAGUGGCGAACGGGUGAGUAACACGUGGGUGAUCUGCCUUGCACUUCGGGAUAAGCUUGGGAAACUGGGUCUAAUACCGGAUAGGACAGCUGUUUAGUGUCAGUUGUGGAAAGUUUUUUCGGUGCAAGAUGAGCUCGCGGCCUAUCAGCUUGUUGGUGGGGUAAUGGCCUACCAAGGCGUCGACGGGUAGCCGGCCUGAGAGGGUGUACGGCCACAUUGGGACUGAGAUACGGCCCAGACUCCUACGGGAGGCAGCAGUGGGGAAUAUUGCACAAUGGGCGGAAGCCUGAUGCAGCGACGCCGCGUGGGGGAUGAAGGCCUUCGGGUUGUAAACUCCUUUCGACAGGGACGAAGCUUUUGUGACGGUACCUGUAUAAGAAGCACCGGCUAACUACGUGCCAGCAGCCGCGGUAAUACGUAGGGUGCGAGCGUUGUCCGGAAUUACUGGGCGUAAAGAGCUCGUAGGUGGUUUGUCGCGUCGUCUGUGAAAUUCCGGGGCUUAACUCCGGGCGUGCAGGCGAUACGGGCUGACUUGAGUGCUGUAGGGGAGACUGGAAUUCCUGGUGUAGCGGUGGAGUGCGCAGAUAUCAGGAGGAACACCGAUGGCGAAGGCAGGUCUCUGGGCAGUAACUGACGCUGAGGAGCGAAAGCAUGGGUAGCGAACAGG
rnacentral:rRNA from 1 species